CGGGGAAGGAUUAGCGGCGAACGGGUGAGGAACACGUGAGGAAUCUGCCUUCAACACUGGGAUAACUCCGGGAAACCGGGGCUAAUACCGGAUACGAGGCCUGCAGGCAUCUGCGGGUCUGGAAAGUUUUUCGGUUGAAGAUGACCUCGCGGCCUAUCAGCUAGUUGGUGAGGUAAUGGCUCACCAAGGCAACGAUCCAUAGCUGGUUUGAGAGGAUGAUCAGCCACACUGGGACUGAGAUACGGCCCAGACUCC
rnacentral:rRNA from 1 species